GGUGGUUCUCAGGUGCUACAUCCCGGAAUUGGGCUCCCUCCUCUCUGGUUCCGGGUGCAUCACCCGAGAAUCACA
rfam:Myotis lucifugus cont2.1490, whole genome shotgun sequence.